rnacentral:rRNA from 1 species
UACGUAGGGCGCAAGCGUUGUCCGGAAUUAUUGGGCGUAAAGAGCUCGUAGGUGGCUUGUCGCGUCUGCCCGUGAAAGCCCAUGGCUUAACUGUGGGUCUGCGGUGGAUACGGGCUGGCUAGAGGUAGGUAGGGGCAAGCGGAAUUCCUGGUGUAGCGGUGAAAUGCGUAGAUAUCUGGAGGAACACCGAUGGCGAAGGCAGGUCUCUGGGCAUUAACUGACGCUGAGGAGCGAAAGCAUGGGGAGCGAACAGG